CCCGCUCUGCUGUGCGAGCCGCGGCGCGAGGUCGCCCACGCUCCCUUCUCCCCGCCCUGUGGGUCCCGGGCACCCGGAGUGUUCGGUGUCUGGCGCCCGUGCGUGAUGACGUACACGCGCGCCAAGACGUGGGGACGCAGGCGGGCCGUAGAGAGCGUUCAGCUCCCUGUAUAUCUUCCCAGAUGCCUAAAACCUGACCACAUUUUCCCGUCACUGGGUUGAUAUCUAACCAUGCAGCGGAGAUCAAGAGGAAUUAAUACUGGACUUAUUCUGCUCCUUUCUCAAAUCUUCCAUGUUGGGGUCAACAAUAUUCCACCUGUCACCCUAGCAACUUUGGCUGUCAACAUCUGGUUCUUCUUGAGUCCUCUGAAGCCACUGUUGGGCUCCUGCCUUAGUGUGGAGACAUGUUACCAGCAGAAAGACUGGCAGCGCUUACUGCUUUCUCCUUUUCACCAUGCAGACGAUUGGCAUUUGUAUUUCAAUAUGGCAUCCUUGCUAUGGAAAGGAAUCAAUCUGGAAAGGAGACUGGGAAGUAAAUGGUUUGCCUAUGUCAUCGUCACAUUCUCGCUACUCACCGGGGUGGUGUACCUAUUGUUGGAAUUUGCUCUUGCAGAAUUUAUGAAUGAACCUGGCUUCAGAAGGAACUGUGCUGUAGGUUUCUCAGGAGUUUUGUUUGCUUUGAAAGUUCUUAACAACCAUUAUUGCCCUGGAGGCUUUGCCAACGUUUUGGGCUUUCCUGUACCCAACAGAUUUGCUUGUUGGGCAGAACUUGUGGCUAUUCAUUUCAUCUCACCAGGGGCUUCUUUCGCUGGGCAUCUGGCCGGGAUUCUCGUCGGACUAAUGUACACUCUUGGGCCUCUGAAGAAAAUCAUGGAAAUGUGUGCAGGCAAUUUUCCCUCCCCUGUUCAUUACCCAGGACAGCAGUACUACUUUAAUAGUUCAGGCUACUCCAGGUAUCAGGAUUAUUACCCCCACGGCAUGCCAGGUUACUCUGAAGAAGUACCCAGGGACUAUGACGCAUACACAGCAGGGCUGAGCGAAGAGGAACAACUGGAGAGAGCGUUAAGAGCCAGCCUCUGGGACCGAGAACGCUUCCUUUGGAUCAUGGUUCUUGCUUGCAGCUCUGUGUUGGGAGAUACUCACUUCAGCGAGUGAAGUUUGACAUUCGAGAUUGUGUCUAGAUGUCAAAUUGUGCCCGUAAAGAAACAUAAACACGGGCAGAGUCCACCUGACUUUCGAGGGAAGGGAGACAGAUGAUAAAGUGUGACAAACGGCUCUGAUGUACGUGUGCUAACAUCUGGAAACAGCCCCCCGGGUCCCCUGCCCUACGGGUUCCGUCUCUCACCAGAGGAAGAAAUGAGGAGGAAGCGGCUUCACAGAUUUGACAGCCACUGAGGGGGCAGGGCAUCCUGGGCAAAAGCGGUCCAGUCGUGUGAUUGCCCGUGUGGCUCCUCAUUUCCCAAGCCCCUACGUGAACCAAAAAGCACAGUACAGCUUUAUCUCACAUCUGCCUCGGCUCGUCACCCCGUGGCCCCUGUGGGUCUCCAUCCACCAGCAGACUGACUUGUCUUGAAACCAGACUUCUGGAAGCAGCCCACAGCUCUGUGGGCCCUUCUCCCGGCCUCCUCCUGUGUCACAGGCGGAAGGUCCAUUCCUCCAGGCAGGGACUGCUUUCCACACUCCCUCCUGGUGCGGCCAGCCCGGCGGUGCCUCUGCCUCGUUCCGGUUUUGAAGACUGUGCCUUUCAGCAGCCUGGAAGUUCAGGUCCCCCCUUCUGUCCGGCGUGCCCAGUGCGGGGCUUGGCGGGAAGAGAGAAGCCAUGCCUCGGCCUCCUGACACGUGGCUGCGAUGACUUUCCGGGAAACAUGACGUGGCUGCCGUAAGAGCGUGUUGUCCGCUCGCCCUCGCCCGAGCACCUCGGCCUCUUGGGCGCCCCCGUGCAGGUGGCGUUGACAGUGUACUUGACUUGUUCUUCCAUUGCUCUGUCUUUAGAGAACGUCGGGCUGAAAAGGCCUGGGUCAGACCUCGGGGACACCGCCUACACACUCCGUUAGACAUCAGGUGGCACUGACGUUGGGGGCGCACAGCGGCCUCUCCAGCGAGAGGAUAGGUUCCCAGAGAUGUCACCUGGGUUAGUUAAGCAGCCAGCCAAGCAGCAGCAGGUGCUACCGGCAGAGCAAAGCAGUCAUUUGGUGGGCUGGUCGCUGAGAAAGCCCUUUUGAGGAAGUAUUUUUUUCCCCAUAAAAGUGCCUUUUAAAUGGCCACUGUAACAGCCGCUUGCCUGCCCAGGUGCCCAGGACCCACCUAGAAGCCCUCAGUGUUAGAGCCCACGGGCCAUCCAUGUCACUUAAGACUAUUUAUUUCCUGGUGCCUGUGUUUCAUGAAUAAAAAGACAAAGUCAGAUAUCACUGA